UUGAACGCUGGCGGUAUGCUUAACACAUGCAAGUCGAACGGAAACGAUACUAGCUUGCUAGUAGGCGUCGAGUGGCGGACGGGUGAGUAACGCGUAGGAAUCUGCCUGAUAGUGGGGGAUAGCCCGAAGAAAUUCGGAUUAAUACCGCAUAAUCUAUUCGUAGUAAAGUGGGGGACUUUCGAGCCUCACGCUAUCAGAUGAGCCUGCGUAAGAUUAGCUUGUUGGUAGGGUAAAAGCCUACCAAGGCGACGAUCUUUAGCUGGUCUGAGAGGAUGAUCAGCCACAUCGGGACUGAGACACGGCCCGAACUCCUACGGGAGGCAGCAGUGGGGAAUAUUGGACAAUGGGGGCAACCCUGAUCCAGCAAUACCGCGUGUGUGAAGAAGGCCUGAGGGUUGUAAAGCACUUUCAAUUGUGAAGAAAAGUUAGCGGUUAAUAACCGUUAGCCUUGACGUUAACUUUAGAAGAAGCACCGGCUAACUCCGUGCCAGCAGCCGCGGUAAUACGGAGGGUGCAAGCGUUAAUCGGAAUUACUGGGCGUAAAGCGUGCGUAGGCGGUUUAUUAAGUCAGAUGUGAAAGCCCCGGGCUUAACCUGGGAACUGCAUUUGAAACUGGUCAACUAGAGUAUGGUAGAGGAAAGUGGAAUUUCUGGUGUAGCGGUGAAAUGCGUAGAUAUCAGAAGGAACAUCAAUGGCGAAAGGCAGCUUUCUGGACCAAUACUGACGCUGAGGUACGAAAGCGUGGGUAGCAAACAGGAUUAGAUACCCUGGUAGUCCACGCCGUAAACGAUGAUAACUAGCCGUUGGGGGGAUUUACCCUUUAGUGGCGAAGCUAACGCGUUAAGUUAUCCGCCUGGGGAGUACGGCCGCAAGGUUAAAACUCAAAGGAAUUGACGGGGACCCGCACAAGCGGUGGAGCAUGUGGUUUAAUUCGAUGCAACGCGAAGAACCUUACCUGGUCUUGACAUCCUGCGAACUUUCUAGAAAUAGAUUGGUGCCUUCGGGAACGCAGUGACAGGUGCUGCAUGGCUGUCGUCAGCUCGUGUCGUGAGAUGUUGGGUUAAGUCCCGUAACGAGCGCAACCCCUAUCCUUAUUUGCCAGCACAUCAUGGUGGGAACUAUAAGGAGACUGCCGGUGAUAAACCGGAGGAAGGCGGGGACGACGUCAAGUCAUCAUGGCCCUUACGACCAGGGCUACACACGUGCUACAAUGGGAAGGACAAAGAGCCGCGAAGCCGCGAGGUGUAGCUAAUCUCAUAAACCUUUUCGUAGUCCGGAUUGGAGUCUGCAACUCGACUCCAUGAAGUCGGAAUCGCUAGUAAUCGUAGAUCAGAAUGCUACGGUGAAUACGUUCCCGGGUCUUGUACACACC
rnacentral:rRNA from 1 species